rnacentral:rRNA from 1 species
AACGAACGCUGGCGGCGUGGAUUAGGCAUGCAAGUCGAGCGAGAAAGGGGCCUUCGGGCCCUGAGUAAAGCGGCGAACUGGUGAGUAACAGGUGGGUAACGUGCCCUAAAGUUGGGGAUAACUCCGAGAAAUCGGUGCUAAUACCGAAUGUGGCUGUUUGAGUUUCGGCUCGAGCAGUUAAAGGCUUCGGUCGCUUUGGGAUCGGCCCGCCCUCGAUUAGCUAGUUGGUGAGGUAACGGCUCACCAAGGCUUCGAUCGAUAGCUGGUCUGAGAGGAUGGUCAGCCACACUGGAACUGAGAUACGGUCCAGACUCCUACGGGGGGCAGCAGUCUAGAGGCUUCGGCAAGUGGGGGCAACCCUGACCGAGCGACGCCGCGUGUGGGAUGAAGGUCGUUUUCGUUGUAACCACUGU